CGGGAGUGGCUCUACUGAGCUUGUAGAGGAAUCUGGGACUGAAUGUACACUUCCGCUAAUGACCGAGCUUCAACGAGUUCCACCUCUCCUGGAAGGAUCUAGCCAACUGCUACCAGCGUUAGAGCCCAGGGCUGUUGCGCCGCGGCACUGACAAGGCCCGCCACGCCCCCGGAACGGCCACGCCCCCGGGCCCAACCUGAAGGAACGCGUGCGCAGGAAGGGCCCCGCCCGCGGGCACGCCCCCAUCCGCCCCGGACCCGCCCCAUCCGCCCCGGACCCGCCCCUUCCGCAGGGCGCACUCUGAAGAGCCCUCCCCCAUGGGCCCGCCCCUAGUAGCUCUGGUCCCGCCCCUCCCUUGGGGCGCACUCCGUAUAGAGUCUCUGAGCUGGACUGGACCCAUGGCUCAUCCCGUUUCGGUGCGGAUCCAGCGCAGCGCCCGCGCCCGGCGUGCCUAAAGAGCUGUCAUGCUGAGACUUUCUCCAGGAGCUGGGGCAGAGUGCUGAUAUUUUUAUAGCAGCAGAGUGUGCCAGAGGCCAGCAGCUGCUCGGGACAAGCCCUCUCUUUCCGCUGCCCUGGACACUGCUAAAAUGAAUAGUGCAGAAAAUCACUCCUGAGAUCUGGAAACUCAUCUUUUUCCAUGGAAGGCACUGCUACGCUGCUUCCCCACAGUCCUGGAGAAUGGAUGAUGUCUGUCUGAUGAUGCACUGGAACCUGGGCACUUGCUUGUCAUCCCACUCUUGCAACCCUCCCAGGAACUAUGUGGCUCCUUUGCUCAGAGAAGGACUAUAACAGAGACAGAGGCCUGACUCUUUCCUGUUGAUGUUUAGCUUUUCAAUCUUAAUGUUAGUAGCAUACAUUCUCCUGAGCAUGGAAGAGAAGAAACUUAAUGCAAGUGAUUAUACAUGUAAGGAUCAAUCCAUGUACACAUGGAGAAAAUAUUUAAUGUGCCAGACCCUGAAAUUAUGUGCUAAGCAAUGAAAUAAAUUGGCAAGCCACCACUGAAAAAUAAAAACAAAAGAGCAAGUUUUUAUGUGCAUUUUAAACUACUUAGAGAUGAUACAGUUGAAGGAAACAGCAAAUAUUUUCAUUUAUUCAUAUGUUAGUUGUAUGAACAGAAAAAAUUCUGGAGCAAUGUACACUCUUUUAACACCAAAACAGAAUGGCAUUUCUGGGGAGUUUUCACUUUUGAUGUUGUAUGUGUUUGUAGUAUUCUAACAUUAUAACAAAUAUGCUGCAAUAUUGCAAUUAUAGGAAAACCAAUAAAGUUAAAUAAUAGCAAUUUUACUGGGAAAAAAAGAUGACAUUACCAAAAAGCUGGAGCAGAUGUGGGAAGGCAAGAACUCUUACACUCCUCACCUGGGAGAAUAAAUUGGCACAACUUGGGGAAGUAAACGAUCACAUCUACCAAGUUGAAACAGCACAUCCCCUUUGACAUGGCAAUUCCCCAUCUACAAAUGUGUCCUAGGGAGUUAAUACACAUGGCACACGUGUGCACAAGAUGUGGACUGCAGCACUGUCUGUGAUGGUGAAAAAAAAUGGAAACCUACACAUAUACAUGUAGAAGGUAUACAUUGUGGCAUACUCACUGAAGAGAAAACUCUUAUCACAGUUGAAAAUGAGUAAACCCUAUCCUACAGGUAUCAGCGUGGAUAAAUGUUGAAAAUAAAGUUGAAAAAGAUAGCAAGUGGUAUUAUGAUGUGUAAGGGUUUUUUUGUUUGUUUUUUGUUUUGGCUGCGUGAGCUAUUCAUUGUGGUAUGCGGGGUCUAUCUCUAGUUGUGGCUCAUAGACUCUAGAGCAUGGGCUCAGUAGUUGCGGCCCAAAGGGUUAGUUGCUCCAAGGCAGAUGGACUCUUCCCAGACCAUGGAUCGA